AUGUGUGCGCGUGCGUGUGUACAAUUAGAGAACACUGAUUCUGAGGGGAUAAAAAACAACAAAGUGCUCUGGGGACUCUGGAGAAAAAGUAAGAUUUGCCAGAUGAUUCAGUUGCUUCCUACACUUGCAUGUGUUUGUUCUGGUGAAAAAGGGUUAACUGGGAGUCAAACUAUCAGGAGCAAAAGGCUUAAGCGAUAGAAUAAAAUAUUUUAUUUAAACAACUAAUGUUAAGGAAAUCAGAUUUGUCUAAACAUUGGCUUCAUUUAAAAAAGUUAAAAACAAUCUGUUUUACCUUCAUCCUAGACUUUGAACCUGGCUGAGAAAGCUUUGAUUUCUCAGCACCUUGGUCCAUCUUAUUUUUAAGGUGUCCUCUAUACUGUUUUGGACGCCAAAUUAAUUCCAUGAUCACAGCAAAAGGACACAUUUUGUGACUGACUCAAGGAAGCAGAACAACUGAAAAUACAAAUAUUGUCCUUAUUAAUUACUUUCAAACCAAACAGCUUAUACGUGUUUUUCUUUUUAAAUAAAUAAACUCAACAAGGUAAACUGACUUUAAAUAGGAUUACAAUAAGGGAAGUUGAAGAUAGAAACAAUGUAGAAAAGAAGCAAGCUCAAUUUCUUCUGACUAGAUAAGCAACUAUAGUCACCUAACAGGUUUCUUGAAGUAAUGAGCAUUGCUAAAGUAAUACUGUAAAUUGUUCUCACUAAACAGAAAUCUGUAGCUAUUUAAAUACAAUAAGCACACUGCAAAAACAGGCCCCUAAAAAUACAUCAAAACAAUCUAACCACAAUGGAUUGUCUUUAAAUAAGGAAACAAUCUGCCAUUGGGGUAAGAUAAAUCCUCUUUCCAAAAGUUCCUAAUUAAAAAAAGCAUUUCUAGUGAUUGAGAGAGGCUUUCUCAAAUUAUUUUGCUAUUGGAAAACCUUUUUGAUAAGAUAAUUGUCUUGCAAGACAGAAAAUAAGGCAUUUCUUCUUGAAACAUGGGUCUUUUUACUUUCUAAUGAUUCCUUUUUGCAGUGCAAUUUCCAAAGUUAGUGGUUGUUCUGAGCUAACUUCUACUAAUGAGCUAAACCAGACCAGACCUUGCUUGUUCACUAGUAUUAUCUUAAAAAAAUGCUAUUGACAGAGACCAUUUGAGCUAUAUAGGGCCAGAACCCAGUUAAAAUACACUGUAAUUCACUAGAGACUUUAUUAUAGACACUGCAGAAAUCCUGACAUUUAAACUUCCCCUUCUGUGAGUAAGUAGUCUAGAUCAACUUCAAAUCUAUAAAAGAGAGAGCAGGAAAGAUCCUUUUUCACUGUUUUUUGCAAUUUGGACUGUAGAAUACUAAAUUCUGCACGUCAGAGCUGCUUAUUGUUCCUUUAAACAAACUGAUCAAUGAUGCCAAAAAAAACAAAAACAAAAAAAAAAAAAACACUUGUUUUGCUAACAGAUCUUUCUUAAAAUGUUUACAAUCCUGGGAAAUGUUAUAAUAAUGGCUUUCUUCAUUCUAUUAAAAGUCACAUUUUUAUAAUAUUUGGAUUCAUUUACAACAAGCAAACAUUUUUCUUUCUCUGACAGAAGAGCACUUGAAAUGUGAAUACUAUUUAUU
ensembl:lncRNA